AACAAAUAGAACAAGCUGUCCUACAACUUUAGGCUGUGCACGCCAUACGCAAGAAGAAGAAGAUUGAUCGAUCUGAUCAUCAGUCAGUUCACAAGACUAACAGAUGAAAUGACUAAGUGAAAAAUAACAACAGUCUGAAAAGAUUUUCAACACCCCCAUCAGUGAAUGACAAUUGUAGACAGCCACUUAUCUUCUCAUCUGUCCCAUGCAUGAGAUCCCUGUUCUUCAAGUAAAUUCAUGGAAAUAACUGCAGGCUCUCACCUGCAAAGUCGUGAGAAAGAAGACCUACUGCACCUGAACUCAUGCGGAACCGCAAGGAGAAGUCUGACAUUUACCAUUCCCGCCAUUGGGUUGAUCUGGAGGGAAUCUCUCUGUUCUCAUUUGUUCAACGGCUGUCGGAAUGGCAUCAUUAGAUUCUGAUGUGCUAGUGGUGGUGGGCAAGAUUCUUCCGGGAAGUGAAGGAUCAAGGGGAUUUUAACCUGCCAACUGCCCAGCUUCAAUCUGGCAGGAAGCGUUGAAAUCAUCCACCCAGGUAAAAUUACUGAGACACAGUGAUCAAGCCCAGGAUAUGAAAUAAUAAUAUGUGCAGGGAGGACCUACAGAUGCUGGUUUACACCGAAGAGAGACACAAAAUGCUGGAGUAACUCAGCAGGACAGGCAGCAUCCCUGGAGAGAAGGAAUGGGUGACGUUUGGG